AGGACUCAAUCUGUAGACCUAAAACAGAUUAAAAGGAAUAGUUUACUCUAAAUCUGUUCCAAUGAAGAAACAAAUUCAUCUACGUCUCAAAUGGCUUGAGGGCCCUGCUGGUCAUUGACACAGGAGCUACAUAGGGCCUUUGAACUGGUUCCCAGAGAGAUGUUGGCGGAUGGAGGGUUUGGAUCCUGCCGCAUCACCGAGCUUACGCCACACAACCUGAACACAAAGCAAACACACAGUCCUCCUCGUAGUCCUCUGGGAGCUUCCUGUCCAGGUUUUCGUGGACUUCUAAUACCUACAAAGCAAAGGAACAGAGGGUUAAACAAUUAAUGAAUGUUAUGUCGUCCUUCAAACAACAGAGAUCCAACAAAUCAUAGAAAUCCUGGAGGUGGCAGUAUUGCUAUAAUAAGUAAGACUUUAAACGUUUUGAUGAUGUGUCCCACUUUUUACUGAUAGACAUUGAGGGAUAACAAAGAGAGGACUACAAACUAUUAAAAAGUGUAACACAAUUGAGAAAUGACCGCAAGCCUAAAAAAAUAGCAUAAUAUAACUGGACAUGAUAUUUUACAGCAAUCGUUAGUUCUGAAAUACAAACAACUUGUAAGUACGGCUUCAUUUUGCAAUAUGUGCAUUAGAAUCUCACUUUCAUGGCAUGUACAACAGCUUCUGGUUUCUGUGCUGCCGGCAGGUAUCCGGUGACGGGGGACAGCAGAUCACCUCCUGGCAUCCACGUAGAUCCCUGUAGACAGAUGGACACACAUUCGUCACAAUCAAAAAUCACUCAUACUGUUCUCUCAGUUUACCAGAGGAGAUCCGAGCACUGGAAAAGCCCAUGGCUGUUCCUCCGAGUCAACUCAGGCUUGAAAUGGGUUAAAGCAUCUCAUUAUAACUCAUCUCUGCUUGGACCCCCUUCAUGGGUACGCAUCAACAAAGAGUUCUUUCAGUGCACAGGGUCUGGUGAGCCCCUGUUUAGACAAAGCCCUUUGAGUCCUAUUCUAGCGUUAAAUCCACAACAAUUGAGCUGGCAUUUCAACAACAGGGUCGGGAGAGGACCCCUGGAUGGAAACUGUGGCUCGCUUUUGGCCUGGGAGAACAGGACUGUGAUGUUCACUCGCAGUUGCCAGCAGGUUUAUAAAGGGCUAGAGCCAUGGGGAUUUUACCCUGGACUGACCCGAGUACAUCCUGAAACGAUGGCCGCUGUCAUGCAUCGCCCCGGCAGUCUGAUUAGAGAAGCACACAAUUCAUUCUGCAUGGAUUCAUUUGCCAUGCAGCGCUCGAAUUACCUGGAUUAUUUUAAUAGCUAAUGCCACUAUCUAUUCAGGACCUUAAAAUUCUCAUAUGAUAAAGUUGUAUGAACUAUAUUGCAACAUGACAUUAAAUGUAAGCGAUUUAAUUCCCAUAAAAUGUAACUGUAUAAAAUAUAAUGCAAAUUAAUACUAUUAAAUAGUAAGAAAAAAUUGUGAUGAGUGGGGCAGGACCGAGAGCCGUGGGAACGGAGCGAGGCUGGUGGAGUGAUUGAAGAUGAGCGACACCUGCACCACUCACCGGUCUCGAGUCCCACGGUGGAGCUCCGGAAGCAUAAAGGGAGGAGUAACGACAGUGAAGAACGAGAGAGGACCAGGCCUGGGUUUUAUUUUGUGUUUUGGUUUUGUUUGUGCUGUUUGGUGUCUUUUUUAUUAUUAAA